GAUGAACGCUAGCUACAGGCUUAACACAUGCAAGUCGCGGGGCAGCAUGGGGGUUGCUUGCCAUCCCCGAUGGCGACCGGCGCACGGGUGAGUAACGCGUAUUCAACCUGCCCUUCACCACGGGAUAACCCGGCGAAAGUCGGACUAAUACCGUAUGUUGUCCAUUGACGGCAUCCGAUUUGGACGAAAGGCUUGGCGGUGAGGGAUGGGGAUGCGUCCGAUUAGCCAGACGGCGGGGUAACGGCCCACCGUGGCUACGAUCGGUAGGGGUUCUGAGAGGAAGGUCCCCCACACUGGAACUGAGACACGGUCCAGACUCCUACGGGAGGCAGCAGUGAGGAAUAUUGGUCAAUGGGCGUAAGCCUGAACCAGCCAAGUAGCGUGCAGGAUGACGGCCCUAUGGGUUGUAAACUGCUUUUAUGCGGGGAUAAAGUGGCCCACGUGUGGGCUUUUGCAGGUACCGCAUGAAUAAGGACCGGCUAAUUCCGUG
rnacentral:rRNA from 1 species